rnacentral:rRNA from 1 species
AUGGGAUUAGCUAGUAGGUGGGGUAACGGCUCACCUAGGCGACGAUCCCUAGCUGGUCUGAGAGGAUGACCAGCCACACUGGAACUGAGACACGGUCCAGACUCCUACGGGAGGCAGCAGUGGGGAAUAUUGCACAAUGGGCGCAAGCCUGAUGCAGCCAUGCCGCGUGUAUGAAGAAGGCCUUCGGGUUGUAAAGUACUUUCAGCGAGGAGGAAGGUGGUGAGUUUAAUACACUCAUCAAUUGACGUUACUCGCAGAAGAAGCACCGGCUAACUCCGUGCCAGCAGCCGCGGUAAUACGGAGGGUGCAAGCGUUAAUCGGAAUUACUGGGCGUAAAGCGCACGCAGGCGGUCUGUCAAGUCGGAUGUGAAAUCCCCGGGCUCAACCUGGGAACUGCAUCCGAAACUGGCAGGCUUGAGUCUCGUAGAGGGGGGUAGAAUUCCAGGUGUAGCGGUGAAAUGCGUAGAGAUCUGGAGGAAUACCGGUGGCGAAGGCGGCCCCCUGG